CCUACGGGGGGCAGCAGUGAGGAAUAUUGGUCAAUGGGCGGAAGCCUGAACCAGCCAAGUAGCGUGCAGGAUGACGGCCCUACGGGUUGUAAACUGCUUUUAUACGGGAAUAACGCGCCUUACGUGUAGGGCUUUGCAUGUACCGUAUGAAUAAGGACCGGCUAAUUCCGUGCCAGCAGCCGCGGUAAUACGGUAGGUCCGGGCGUUAUCCGGAUUUAUUGGGUUUAAAGGGAGCGUAGGCCGCAUGUCAAGCGUGCUGUGAAAUGCCCGGGCUCAACCCGGGCCUUGCAGCGCGAACUGGCGUGCUGGAGUCUGCGGAAGGCAGGCGGAAUUCGACGUGUAGGGGUGAAAUGCUUAGAUAUGAGGAGGAACCCCGGUUGCGAAGGCAGCUUGCUGCAGCGGAACUGACGCUGAUGCGCGAAAGCGCGGGUAUCGAACAGGAUUAGAUACCCGUGUAGUC
rnacentral:rRNA from 1 species